GAAUAGCUCAGUCUCUAAAGCACAAGACUCUUAAUCUCAAGGUCAUGGGUUCAAGCCCCAUGUUGGACA